rnacentral:rRNA from 1 species
AGACCCGAAACCCGGUGAUCUAGCCAUGGGCAGGUUGAAGGUUGGGUAACACUAACUGGAGGACCGAACCGACUAAUGUUGAAAAAUUAGCGGAUGACCUGUGGCUGGGGGUGAAAGGCCAAUCAAACCGGGAGAUAGCUGGUUCUCCCCGAAAGCUAUUUAGGUAGCGCCUCGUGAAUUCAUCUCCGGGGGUAGAGCACUGUUUCGGCUAGGGGGCCAUCCCGGCUUACCAACCCGAUGCAAACUGCGAAUACCGGAGAAUGUUAUCACGGGAGACACACGGCGGGUGCUAACGUCCGUCGUGAAGAGGGAAACAACCCAGACCGCCAGCUAAGGUCCCAAAGUCAUGGUUAAGUGGGAAACGAUGUGGGAAGGCCCAGACAGCCAGGAUGUUGGCUUAGAAGCAGCCAUCAUUUAAAGAAAGCGUAAUAGCUCACUGGUCGAGUCGGCCUGCGCGGAAGAUGUAACGGGGCUAAACCAUGCACCGAAGCUGCGGCAGCGAACGUAUCACCCAAGACAACUUUACGGAGUUGACGAUUGACGGAGCGAAGCGACGUCAAAGCGUUCAUUAAAGUCGAGUUGGCUUAGGGAUACGUUCGUUGGGUAGGGGAGCGUUCUGUAAGCCUGUGAAGGUGUGUCGUGAGGCAUGCUGGAGGUAUCAGAAGUGCGAAUGCUGACAUAAGUAACGAUAAAGCGGGUGAAAAGCCCGCUCGCCGGAAGACCAAGGGUUCCUGUCCAACGUUAAUCGGGGCAGGGUGAGUCGACCCCUAAGGCGAGGCCGAAAGGCGUAGUCGAUGGGAAACGGGUUAAUAUUCCCGUACUUGGUGUUACUGCGAAGGGGGGACGGAGAAGGCUAUGUUGGCCGGGCGACGGUUGUCCCGGUUUAAGCGUGUAGGUGUGUGUUCCAGGUAAAUCCGGUUCACUUUAACACUGAGGCGUGAUGACGAGGCACUACGGUGCUGAAGCAACAAAUGCCCUGCUUCCAGGAAAAGCCUCUAAGCAUCAGGUAACACGAAAUCGUACCCCAAACCGACACAGGUGGUCAGGUAGAGAAUACCAAGGCGCUUGAGAGAACUCGGGUGAAGGAACUAGGCAAAAUGGUGCCGUAACUUCGGGAGAAGGCACGCUGACACGU